CUACGGGUUGCUGCAGUGGGGAAUCUUGGACAAUGGGCGCAAGCCUGAUCCAGCCAUGCCGCGUGAGUGAAGAAGGCCUUAGGGUCGUAAAGCUCUUUCGCCAGAGAUGAUAACGACAGUAUCUGGUAAAGAAACCCCGGCUAACUCCGUGCCAGCAGCCGCGGUAAUACGGAGGGGGUUAGCGUUGUUCGGAAUUACUGGGCGUAAAGCGCGCGUAGGCGGAUUAGUCAGUCAGAGGUGAAAUCCCAGGGCUCAACCCUGGAACUGCCUUUGAUACUGCUAGUCUUGAGUGCGGGAGAGGUGAGUGGAAUUCCGAGUGUAGAGGUGAAAUUCGUAGAUAUUCGGAGGAACACCAGUGGCGAAGGCGGCUCACUGGCUCGAUACUGACGCUGAGGUGCGAAAGUGUGGGGAGCAAACAGGAUUAGAUACCCGCGUAGUC
rnacentral:rRNA from 1 species